AGUGAACGCUGGCGGUAGGCCUAACACAUGCAAGUCGAACGGCAGCACAGUAAGAGCUUGCUCUUACGGGUGGCGAGUGGCGGACGGGUGAGGAAUACAUCGGAAUCUACUUUUUCGUGGGGGAUAACGUAGGGAAACUUACGCUAAUACCGCAUACGACCUACGGGUGAAAGCAGGGGAUCUUCGGACCUUGCGCGAUUGAAUGAGCCGAUGUCGGAUUAGCUAGUUGGCGGGGUAAAGGCCCACCAAGGCGACGAUCCGUAGCUGGUCUGAGAGGAUGAUCAGACACACUGGAACUGAGACACGGUCCAGACUCCUACGGGAGGCAGCAGUGGGGAAUAUUGGACAAUGGGCGCAAGCCUGAUCCAGCCAUACCGCGUGGGUGAAGAAGGCCUUCGGGUUGUAAAGCCCUUUUGUUGGGAAAGAAAAGCAGCAGGUUAAUACCCCGCUGUUCUGGCGGUACCCAAAGAAUAAGCACCGGCUAACUUCGUG
rnacentral:rRNA from 1 species